rnacentral:rRNA from 1 species
GACGAACGCUGGCGGCGUGCUUAACACAUGCAAGUCGAACGGAAAGGCCCUGCUUUUGUGGGGUGCUCGAGUGGCGAACGGGUGAGUAACACGUGAGUAACCUGGCCUUGACUUUGGGAUAACUUCAGGAAACUGGGGCUAAUACCGGAUAGGAGCUCCUGCUGCACGGUGGGGGUUGGAAAGUUUCGGCGGUUGGGGAUGGACUCGCGGCUUAUCAGCUUGUUGGUGGGGUAGUGGCUUACCAAGGAUUUGACGGGUAGCCGGCCUGAGAGGGUGACCGGCCACAUUGGGACUGAGGUACGGCCCAGACUCCUACGGGAGGCAGCAGUGGGGAAUAUUGCACAAUGGGCGGAAGCCUGAUGCAGCAACGCCGCGUGCGGGAUGACGGCCUUCGGGUUGUAGACCGCUUUCGCCUGUGACUAAGCGUGAGUGACGGUAAUGGGUAAAGAAGCACCGGCCAACUACGUG